rnacentral:misc_RNA from 1 species
UUAAGUUCAGCGGGUAUCCCUACCUGAUCCGAGGUCAACCAUAGAAAGUUUGGGGUUGAUGGCGAGCAUCCACCGGGACCCUGUAGCGAGAAGAGUUACUACGCUCAGAGCCAGAUGGCGCCGCCACUGAUUUUAAGGGCUGCCGGUGUGGCAGGCCCCAACACCAAGCUGAGCUUGAGGGGUUAUAAUGACGCUCGAAC